UGUCCAGGGAUGGGAAUCGAACCCACAAUGUUCCGCUUACCGGGCAGAUGCCAUGUCCACUAGGCUACCCUGGGGAC